rnacentral:rRNA from 1 species
AUUGAACGCUGGCGGCAGGCUUAACACAUGCAAGUCGAGCGGGGAAGGGUAGCUUGCUACCUGACCUAGCGGCGGACGGGUGAGUAAUGCUUAGGAAUCUGCCUAUUAGUGGGGGACAACAUUCCGAAAGGAAUGCUAAUACCGCAUACGCCCUACGGGGGAAAGCAGGGGAUCUUCGGACCUUGCGCUAAUAUAUGAGCCUAAGUCAGAUUAGCUAGUUGGUGGGGUAAAGGCCUACCAAGGCGACGAUCUGUAGCGGGUCUGAGAGGAUGAUCCGCCACACUGGAACUGCAACCCGGCCCAGACUCCUGCGGGAGGCAGCAGUGGGGAAUAUUGGACAAUGGGCGAAAGCCUGAUCCAGCCAUGCCGCGUGUGUGAAGAAGGCCUUUUGGUUGUAAAGCACUUUAAGCGAGGAGGAGGCUACCGAGAUUAAUACUCUUGGAUAGUGGACGUUACUCGCAGAAUAAGCACCGGCGAACUCUGUGCCAGCCGCCGCCGUAACAC